GGCCUCUCGCUAUGGGUCCAGACGGGCAGAGCCCCUGGAAGAGGCUCUUAAAGACUCUUCAUAAUUAGGAAGAAGAUGUUGAUGAUUAAAUGAGAUCCUGGAACCACAAAGUGCUCUUAUUCAUCAGGGAAGGCCUCCUCUCUGCCAGUGGGCGACCUUUCGCACUUGGCUGCUGCUCUGUCUUUCCCCAAUCUCUUUGUGGAAAGGGAAAAAAAAAUCCCAGAACAAUGGGCCUCCGGGAAGCUUCGAUGCACUGGAUGGAACAGAAGGGGGUUUUGUUUCUGGAGAUAAGGAAACUGAGAUAGACUUGGAUGGAGAUGAGAGGCCAUUGAGUCAAAGCCCUUUAUUCUUCAAGCUGAGCAUUAGGAUGUCCAGGAAACAUCUUGGUCUUUGGACUUUGAGAAAGCAAAAGGAGAGAGGUUUGACCAGGACAGAGUAGAAGAAGAAAGAGGUGUGGCAGAUCCUAAGCAUUUAUUAAAC
rnacentral:lncRNA from 1 species